rnacentral:rRNA from 1 species
CAGCAGCCGCGGGAAUACGUAGGUGGCAAGCGUUGUCCGGAAUUAUUGGGCGUAAAGGGCUCGCAGGCGGGUUUUUAAGUCAGGGGUGAAAUCCCAAGGCUCAACCUUGGAACUGCCUUUGAUACUGGAAGUCUUGGGUCCGGGAGAGGUGAGUGGAACUGCGAGUGUAGAGGUGAAAUUCGUAGAUAUUCGCAAGAACACCAGUGGCGAAGGCGGCUCACUGGCCCGAUACUGACGCUGAGGUGCGAAAGCGUGGGGAGCAAAUGGGAUUAGAUACCCCAGUAGUCCCUGUCUCUUAUAU